AUUGAACGCUGGCGGCAUGCCUAACACAUGCAAGUCGAACGAAGCCUUCGGGCUUAGUGGCGCACGGGUGCGUAACGCGUGGGAAUCUGCCUCUUGCUUCGGAAUAACAGUUAGAAAUGACUGCUAAUACCGGAUGAUGUCUUCGGACCAAAGAUUUAUCGGCAAGAGAUGAGCCCGCGUAGGAUUAGGUAGUUGGUGGGGUAAAGGCCUACCAAGCCGACGAUCCUUAGCUGGUCUGAGAGGAUGAUCAGCCACACUGGGACUGAGACACGGCCCAGACUCCUACGGGAGGCAGCAGUGGGGAAUAUUGGACAAUGGGGGAAACCCUGAUCCAGCAAUGCCGCGUGAGUGAUGAAGGCCUUAGGGUUGUAAAGCUCUUUUACCAGGGAUGAUAAUGACAGUACCUGGAGAAUAAGCUCCGGCUAACUCCGUGCCAGCCGCCGCCGUAAGAC
rnacentral:rRNA from 1 species